CUAAUAUGCACAGCAUUGAUAAGCAAACAGAUGAGUGAAGGAACAGCUUUAGUCAUCAAUUUAUUUGUUCAAACGGUCAUCAAUUUUUUGAUGUUAUUUUUAUUAAUCCAUCUCACCCACUCACACAUAUAUUG